AUUGAACGCUGGCGGCAUGCUUUACACGUGCAAGUCGAACGGCAGCGCGGGCUUCGGCCUGGCGGCGAGUGGCGAACGGGUGAGUAAUACAUCGGAACGUGCCCAGUAGUGGGGGAUAGCUCGGCGAAAGCCGGAUUAAUACCGCAUACGACCUGAGGGUGAAAGCGGGGGAUCUUCGGACCUCGCGCUAUUGGAGCGGCCGAUGGCAGAUUAGCUAGUUGGUGGGGUAAAGGCCUACCAAGGCGACGAUCUGUAGCUGGUCUGAGAGGACGACCAGCCACACUGGGACUGAGACACGGCCCAGACUCCUACGGGAGGCAGCAGUGGGGAAUUUUGGACAAUGGGCGAAAGCCUGAUCCAGCAAUGCCGCGUGUGUGAUGAAGGCCUUCGGGUUGUAAAGCACUUUUGGCGGGAACGAAAAGGACUGUGCCAAUACCACGGUUCGAUGACGGUACCCGCAGAAUAAGCACCGGCUAACUACGUG
rnacentral:rRNA from 1 species